GAGUUCCCUUCAAGCACUUCACGACGCACUAUUUAGAGAGUUGUUGUGAAGUGUUUGGGGGAACUC
rnacentral:pre_miRNA from 1 species